UCGUAGGGCUUUUGUCCUGUCGAGAUAGCGUCCUUGCCUAUUUUUGGAGUACCUUCUGUUUCCUCGGCAGGCUUGCCUGCCACUGGGGACCCUUUAAACUCUUUGUAAAUACAGUAUCUGUCUGAAAAAACAAACAAAAAUCA
rnacentral:misc_RNA from 1 species